CUCAGCUCCCUAAACCCCAUCCCUUACGGCUGCGGUUGGGGAAGAGAGAGAUCGAAGAGAAUCAGGGUAAUGCAGAUGGGAUCGAUGGAAUUCGUAGCGUCGGCGUUGGAGGAGCUUUUGCCGGAACUUUCCCUCGAGGAGCAGCCACAGUUGCAGAACCAAUCCCGCGAGCAUGACUGCAUCCGGAAGCGACAUAACAAGCACUCUCCUCCUCCCCGUCCGUCGUUGAUCUCGGUACGGUACGUGAUGGAGAUGGGAUCGAUGGGAAUGGAUUUCGUGGCGCCGGCGUUGGAGGAGCUGCUGCCGGAUCUUUCCCGCGAGGAGCAGCUACGGUUGCAAAACAAAGCCCGCAGACAUGACCGCAUCUUGAAGCCACAUAACAAGCACGCUCCUCGUCCCCGUCCGUCCCCGUUCUCGGAAUGGUACUGCAACUUCUUCAAAAUUCCCCAGGUUCUCCACGCUCUCGCCCACUACAAUGCCAGACACCCUGGUGGCGAGUUCGAUGCUGUGAAGCCCCUGAAGCAGAGCGGCGUGGGAUUCCGGGGCCAGACAUGGUUCCAUAUCAACUUCUGGGCUCGCCCCGCAGCAGCAGCAGCAGUAAUAACAAGACAAUCAAGUGCUUCUUUGCUGAGGCGCACUACAAGCCAACCUCAAUCAGCAGCCCCUCAUCGUCUUCAUCAUCACUUGCAAUAACUGCAGUUCCUAUAGUUGAAAUAUGCAUCAUUAUCGAGGAACCUCUAUCCCAAUAUAGGCGUAGCUGUGUCUUUUGUCCCAACUACCGGGACAUUUUACACCCUAAGGGCUGCCAUAAGUUCGCCUGUGGAAACGACAAGGACCGGUUUGAACAGCGACUGGACCCUUGCUGCUGCACUGGUAUGGGGAUUGGGAAGAUGCCAUUCACUGCCCGCCCAGACAUGUCUGCUUUUCUCAACAUCAGUCCUAAGUAGGAAGAAGAAGACAAGAAGAGAGUCUGGGGGUUCAAUGUCAAGGAUGACUGGGGUCCUUCAUGCCUCCUCUCGUAUCUUUAACUUCAAGACCAUGCAUGUCCAUCAUGUCAAGUGACACAUAUGUAUGGAGUGGAGUAUAUAACUAGCUAAGCAGUGAGAUUAAAUGAAGAAUAAAUAUACUUUACUAGGUGUUGUUUUCAGAAGGAACAAUUGUGGGUCGAAUUCCCACAGUUAGGGAUAUGGUGAUGGUGUGAUAAGCCACAUAUUGAUGUACUAUGCAUUUUGAUCAGAUCUGUACGGUGUGGUUCACCUGAAUUAUUUGCUAAUUUGCCAGUCGGAUUUUUCAUCGGUCCGGUUUGUAAUUAUGAAGCAAGAUUUAUUAGGCCUAUCUACGUCAUCUAUU